rfam:Pseudozyma antarctica T-34 DNA, contig: scaffold00026.
GGUUUCUUGGCGCAGUUGGUUAGCGCGUCUCCUUAACAAUUCCGGUCUAUCGGAUCGUUAGGGCUUACGGAGGAGGUCGCCGGUUCGAACCCGGCAGAAAUCA